ensembl:miRNA
GGUGGUACGCCCUUUCCUCUCUGCCCCAUAGGGUGUAGCUCUAACUGCCCUCUAGGGAAGAGAAGGUUGGGUGAGCAGCCU